GUGUUGUGUGAAAGGAGAGGUUUGCACUCUCAUUAACAAGGAUAGAAGAGGCCCUGCAGCCUGAAAUGUGAAUGAACUGAAGGCGUUGCCACCCACACGGUUUGUGUCGCGUAACCACUGUUAUUU
ensembl:snRNA